rnacentral:tRNA from 1 species
UGGGGCGUAGCGCAGUCUGGUAGCGCGCCUGUUGUUCGGGUUCAUAAUCCGAUGGAACAGGAGGUCGCAGGUUCGAACCCUGUCGCCCCAACCA